UUUCUUCUUUACAAACCAGCUUUCUAUUCACUGCACCUUCCCUUCAAUGGAGGAGUGGAGGGGAAAAGGAAGCAAGAUUAACAUCAGAAGAUCACUAAAACUGAGACUUGUGCUGAUACUCAAAGCAGGAUUCGGUCUUUAUGUCUUUUGAGAUAUCA
rnacentral:snoRNA from 2 species